rnacentral:rRNA from 1 species
UACGUAGGCAGCAAGCGUUGUUCGGAGUUACUGGGCGUAAAGGGUGUGUAGGCGGUUGGAUAAGUGUGGUGUGAAAUCUCCCGGCUCAACUGGGAGGGUGCGCUACAAACUGUCUGACUAGAGUGUGGGAUGGGUAAGUGGAAUUCCUGGUGUAGCGGUGAAAUGCGUAGAUAUCAGGAGGAAGACCAGUGGCGAAGGCGGGUCUCUGGACAGUUCCUGACACUGAGGCACGAAGGCCAGGGGAGCAAACGGG